ensembl:lncRNA
AUGCUGUGUCUGAAGAUUGUUAAAGUCGUGACCCAGACAGCCCUCCGCAUUCUCCUACCAGCGCUAGCUCGUAUCAUGGGGGUGAACCUGAGGAGUGGGGCAACCUCCCCAGAAUCCCAGUGCUCUCUGACAGGGUCUGAGGAUUCCUUAGGCGGUCUGGAUGAGAGAGAGAAAAGGCUGCUGAUCAGUGAGAUGAACUACUGGACUAAGGAGAGGAGGAGGAAUGGCAGUGCAGGAUGCCGCCAAAAAUCCACUCGCAGAACCUCAUCACCAUGCUGUUCGCCUAAGAGGUCCCAGACCUCAUUGCAGAGCUUGCCUGCAACUAGAGAGGCUCCCCUCAUGGAGGAGCCUCUGAAGGCUCUUUUUGGGGUAACGGAAGAGAGCCUUCUGAUAUCCCUGGUUGAGGGUCACUCCAACCCCACCUCUUCCAGCUCCUCCGAGUUGAGCUGUGCUAUCGUGGGGGAGGUGGUACACCAGCUUAACUCUGGCCUCUCAGUGGCCAUUCAGGCCAGCCCGGGGAGUUGCCCCCCUAUGGACAGUCAGGACAUAGCAGCAGGCAAGGAGGUCAUUCGGGUAGCCUCGGUUCAGAUCCUGGCCGAGCUAGAGAGCCAAACAUCUGAGCCAGAGUGGGUAGGGUUUAUCGAGCCCCUCAUAGACCCUGUGACCGAUGAUGUGCUGGAGGCCAUUGUCGGCACAAUGGACAAAAUGGCACAGGACUUCAACAUCCUAUUGGAUCUGGCCAAGAAGAUGACAAUCUUGGGGUCUAAAUUUCUGACCAAUCUUCAAUGUGACCUAGAUGUUGAGUGUCCAUCUGGGAAGGAAGGGACCACUCACUUUCUCAAAGAGACUGGAUCCUCUACCAGUGUGGUGGCCAGAAAGAUUCAGACCCUCUCUAGCCCCGACUUUCAGUCUAAAGCCCUGAAGGCGGUGAGCACCAUCCUUACAAGGAAAGUCAGCAGCUCUUCUGGCAUGGCUCCUUCCUCUAGGCCUUCUAGUGCUGCUCCUAGCCAUACUGAAGUCCCGCUGAAUACCAGCUGCACAGCCCUGACAUCUGUAACCUCCACUGCCACAGUGAUUGUUAAGGCAUUUGUGGGAGGCAUGGAGACGAUAGCAUCAUUUGAAGACACAUGUGAAGCAGUUGAUUGGCCAGUUCCUGUAAAUGACCACAAAACAGGGUCUUCACAGAAGAUAACCUUCUCUCUAGCCGGUACACUCUAUGGCCGUAUACGAGCAAAGCUGAGGGACCUUUUAACUCUAGCCGCUCGAGAAGAAGGUGUGGCAAAGGAUGCUUCUCUUCGGGAGUCUUCAGACACCCUGGAAAAGGCAACUGUUUCAACUGUUGAGGUCCAGUUACCCAGCACCGAACACAGUAGAGUUCCCAGAGAGAGCCAACCAAUACCAGCUCUCUGUCUCUCCAAUCUGGAUACCAGUACUCAAGAAGUUCUUAGCAGUGUUUUUUCCAUCUACAAGUCAGAGUUAUCAAAAGUGGAGAGUAAAUCCUUGGCCGUUGUCAGUUCAUCUGAUGAGUCCCUAGAGGCUUGUUGGUUUGUUGAUGGUGUCCUAUCAAAGCUCGAUGACUAUACUAUUUCCCAGUCACCCUCACCCAAUGAAGACUUGAGCGUGAGUACUCAAUAUUCUCAACUGAGCUCAGAAGAGAGUGUCAGAAUCACAGAGUCCUCAACUAGUCUGAUUCAGAGCAUUAAGAAGCUCUCUAGCAAUGACUUUCAGAUUCAGGCAGAAGAGGCAGUGAGUAAAGUGCUGAUGAGAUCCAGUCAUUCCUUUAUCACACAGAUCAGCCAUACUGGUCUUCAGAAAAGUCUGCAGGCUGGCUUAUCAUCUAGCUCACCAUCAGAGAUCCAUGUCCUUUCAGAAUCCAUGUCCUCCAUGUCCUCUGAGAAUACAGCCUCUAGAUUAGUGGAAACCUUUGUCAAAGGAAUGGCGACUAUUUUCCAGAAAAAUGAGUCCACUGACACUGUGCUACUGGAAAGAAGUGGGAGAGUUUCACAGUGCUCCCACGGGGGCUCCCAACUGGAUUAUACUGAAUUGAGUGUUAAAAUAGCAGAAGAGAAGCUUUGGUCAACAGCUAAGAACAUCUGCGUCAGUAUGAAGAACACACUUAAGGAUUUCUUCACAGGGCUGAAGCCAUCCGGAUCCGAAAGGACAGAAAUGGCUUCUUCCAAAGAGACCCUUGGGGAAAUCCUGGUUGCUAUCCAGAGUGAAAUCUCAAACUUCGGGCGAAUGAAGGAUUCCAGGGAGCUCCUUCAGAUCAAUGAUAUGGUAGGAACUAUGCUGAAGGAGAUUGAGAAAAGUGAGGAUGACAGUGAACAAGUCUGCCAAGACAUCCCUCGAACCUGUUCAUCUUUAUCCACUUCUUUAAAUGGUCGUAGUUCCUUGUCCAGCUCUUCAAAGGGUCCUAGGUCAGAGUGUGAGUUAGAGAUCAACCUCCCUGGCACUCCCAUCCCUGACAAAGUGCCUUUUGAUCUGACCUGCCCCAUCGUCAGGAGCUCCUGCAUCGACACCAGGGACUCUAAAAUGCCAGAGAUUUCUACAAUUGACCUAAAGACAAAGAUGAUGGCACACACAGAUGAACCCCUGCAUCGUAACAGUCCAAUGACUGACAGCAGCCGACCACCGAGUGCUAAAGUCUCUUUUCGAUCCUCCACUCCGUCUUUCACCAGCAAGGGAACCUCUUUGGUACCAAAGGGAGAGGGGAUUGACAUUGAAGAGAAGGAGGUGUGUAUCCCCAGCAGCUCUGGCCAUCUGAGGGAGCUCUUAAUCAUCCCGGACAUCAGCAGUGCCACUGCAUUCCCACUGCAGUACUUGAAGGACUCCAGCAAAGAUGAUGGCAUCUGUUUUGUCACCAUACUGGUGAUAAGGUUGCUAUCGGAGAUCAGACCCUCAGCCCUAGAUGGACCCUCCCAACAGGCAGCAGAUCUGACCGAAACAUCUCAGCAACUCAUCAGACAAGUCCUGUCUGAGUUCUGUGCUGCAUCCAGAUUAUCCAGGACACAGGCAUAUUCCCAGAACCUGAACAUCCAAAGGGUGUUCAGAGGUGUACAUAAAAACCUCAUGGAGGAGUUUGGCUCUUAUAACACCCUGCAAGCAGCUAUUUCCUCCCAGGACCCUGCAUUUGACAGAGUCCUGGUAAAGUCCUUGACCCAGCAGCUGGUACAGGGAUGCAAGGAGGCGUCAAGACCAGCUUCUGCUGCAACAAACCCAUCAGACCAGGCUGAGACGGAGAGGGGGGCUGAGCAGAAAGCAAGAAGGAGCUUCCUUUGCUUUUCAAUGACUAAACUCAGGAUCAACUUCAAGCGUUCCAAGAGAGGAAACAAAAAGGACUGCCAUUCAGUCCAGGACCAGACUGAGAUUCCCUCUACUGAUGGACAUUGCAUAGGUAAGGAUGUUUUAGAGCUCUGCUAUAGCUUGUAGUUUUGUUUAGGUGUGUGUUAGAAACAUAGGAAUGCCUACCAAACUCAUAGCACUGUUAUUUUUCAACGUUACUAUACUGCAUCUCUCUCUCUCUCUCUCUCUCUCUCUCUCUCUCUCUCUUACCCCAUCCAUUUCUCUUGUGUUUCUAGCUCCAGUUGGAGAGGUUUCUCCCUCCAUAUCUCAGCCUGUCAAAAAACGAUCCUUGAUUGUCAGGGUCUUUUCAGCAAUGAUGAAGCCAUUCAGGCGCUUCACCAAGAAGAACCUGUAACCUGUUACGCUGCAUGAAGAACUACUUUUGUAACAGCAAGACUUUUGACAAGAGAAAUUUCUGCAUGUCUAACCUUUCAAAGUCUAUUUGAUCAAAUAAAUGGCAAUGAUUUUACAAGACUUUCAAGUGUUUUGGAAGAUUGAUAAUACUGAAGCAGAUUUUCUCAGAGAAAUGCACUAGUUCCCCCUUGGUUACACAUUUAUUGUUCAGCUUUUGAGUUGGCAGGACAUAGGGCGUCAGGUAGCCUUGUGGUUAGAGCAUUGGGCCAGUAACCGAAAGGUUACCCCGCAUUCCGACAGAGCAGAUAAAGCAGUACUGGGUAGAGCUGGUGGGGCUUUCAGAGUCAGUUUCAUCUUUCUGCUCAGGCACAGGGCAGGCAUCCUAUGAAGUGUUUAUCUCAGGAGUGCCUGAUUUACCUCUGAACGGUGUCAAAUGUGAGAGAAAGUGGGAUCCGGGUGUUUUUUUACCGUUGUAUUGAUGUCUCUCUUUGACGAAGAAAAGCCUUGCCAAUGAGAACCUUAUUCCAGUCAGAGAGAUAUUAUCAAUAUUUGUGUUGACACAUACCCUACUGCUUCAGUCAGGAUUGCAUCACGGCUGGGGAUUUGUUGUCAUCUGUCUGAGACGGAGAUACUGGUUGAGCAGAAUACAUUUAGAGGUACAUUGGGAAAGAAAAUCCUGCAUGUAUGAAAAAGCCCACCUUGUGGGUGUCACAACGUCUGCGGAAGUCGAAGCCUCUCCUUGUUCGGGCGGUGCUCGAAGGUCGACGUCACCGGUCUUCUACCGGUCUUCAUUGAUCCAUUUUUCAUUUUCGAUUGGUUUUAUCUUGUCUUACUACACACCUGGUUUCAAUCCCAUUCAUUACCUGUUGUGUAUUUAACCGUCUGUUUUCCCUCAUGUCUUUGUCAGAGAUUGUUUUAUGUUCAGUAUUCGUGUUUUGUAUUUGGUGCGCGACGGGUCCUCGUACCCACUUUGUUUCAUUGUAUUUCAUGGUUUUGGAGUCAUGUAUUUUAAGUUAUUAAACUACUCCAUUCCACCAAGUUUUAAUUAUCCUGUGCCUGACUUCCCUGCCACCUAUAAACAUGACUGUGAUAGAAUCUCCGACCAAAAUGAAGUCAGCAGGAGAAGGUACCCCAGCCGUGGAGGUGGAGGAGCGCGUCAUGGAACAUACGGCGAUGAUUUCCAAACUGAGCGCAGCCAUGGAUCGCGUUGUCCAGAAUAUGGACCGCUGGGAGACACAGGGAGUUUUUCCAGCGCCUCUACCAGGACAACCGGGGUCUACCCUGAACACCCCUUUCCCACCUGAACCUAGCAGGAUCCAUCUAUCCAAACCACAAGGAUAUGACGGAGCACUGUGUGUGGAGGGGGAGAUGCGAAGUUGGACGAUUUUGAGGAGUUCACCCACUGUUUCCAGACAGUAUUCGACCACCCACCCGAGGGCAGAGCGGCGGGUGAGCGCCUCUACCAUCUGAGGCAGGAGAUGAGGAGCGCACAGAAGUUUGACCUGGAGUUUAGGACCCUGGCUGCCGGCGCUGGAUGGAGCAACAGGGCCCUGAUCGACAAUUACCGCUGUAGUCUAUGUGAGGACGUCCGUCGGGAGCUGGUCUGCAGAGACACCACCCUCACCUUCGACCAGCUGGUGGACCUGUCCAUCCGGCUGGACAACCUGCUGGCUACUCGCGGACGUCCAGAUCGGGGUCUGGUUGUUCCAUCCUCCCGCACACCCUCUCCGAUACCCAUGGAGCUGGGAGGUGCGGUGCGCAGGGAGACCGGAGGGGGUUCCCUCUCGUGCACCAUAUGUGGCCGCAGAGGUCACACUGCU